ACUACCCUCCCCAGACCUUAUUAGUAGGAUUAUACUGGAUUGUUGUUGUUGUUGUAUAUUUAUUUUUGGUGUUUGGCAGGCUACUUUUGUUUAGGCAUAUUUGGCAAAAGCGCACCGGUUCUUGAGCUUGAGCUGUUGCAUUUUCUCUCAGGAAUGCUUUUGAAAUUUGUCAAUGUUAGUAGCAAGACACUUUAGGUAUUGCUUUGUUUGAUCUUCAGGCUUUGAAUUGAAAUCUGACGAUCCCUUACAAAAACUGCCACUAUAUGAUUAAUCAAGCUAAGGUAAUUAUUGUGCAUGGAGAUUAGGACGAGUUAGUUAGAAUUGGUGAUUUUGUGAAACAUAUGUUGUCUAAAAAACUUUAUGAUUGUUGUGAGCUUCCUUAUCGUCCUAUUAUAUCUAUCUAUACUAUAUUAAAAUCAUAUAUUAAAAAUCAUGAAUCCUUAAAAGUUAAAUUACUUAAAUGUCCCUUUAAAUAAUAUUAAAAUCCUAAUUUAUUUAUUAAAAAAAUAACGCCUACAAGAGGACGUUUCAUGCUUUAUUAAGAGAUACAAUUUACAACCAUUUUAUGAGGGUAAAAACACAUUGAAUAGCUAACUCCAAAAGGUGUUAUUGUUGAUAAUCUGAUGGCCGAUAGGUACCAAUCAUUGUCGAAAUAUGACAAUAUUAAAGGGUAAAAACACAUUGAAUAGCUAACUCCAAAAGGUGUUAUUGUUGAUAAUCUGAUGGCCGAUAGGUACCAAUCAUUGUCGAAAUAUGACAAUAUUAAAGGGUAAAAACACAUUGAAUAGCUAACUCCAAAAGGUGUUAUUGUUGAUAAUCUGAUGGCCGAUAGGUACCAAUCAUUGUCGAAAUAUGACAAUAUCCAAAGGCAGAUCAAAUACCAACAUUACCUAUUUAACCGAAUAAGUUGUAUUUGACUCUAUCAAGAUAUCUCUACAUGUGCAAAAAUAUUUUAAUAUGUAUAUAUACCUUGAAAUUGCACUAAAAUUGCAUUCAUUUACCAUUGAUCCUGAAUUUCACAUUUACAUUACCUCUCUUCAAUUUUUUACAUUCACACUUUGCUCCACUAUAUAUUAUGUUCGUCAACAAUCCGUUCGCAAUAUUGCACGCAAAUCAAUAGAUAACCAAAACUUAAUCCGUUUGAUACCUUUGAGUUUGCUUUUAGGAAUUAUAGUUAAAGGUGGUGACUAUUUUUCGAAUUAGUUUCUUCAUCUAUGUUGCUAUAACCUCAUUUUUCUUCUAUGUCGGAAAAUUUGAUUGGCAAUGGAUGUGGAUUACACGUGAAUCUACUAUAUCCAAUCCUGCAAAUGACCGAAGCCACAAAAUCAACAAACAAUACCUUACUUCUUCAAUUAAAAUUUUGGUGACAAGUAUCAGCUUCUUCUAGAAUUCGUAAAGACAAUUAUUCAAUCAAAAAGAAGCAUCGCUGUAAUCUGUACUAUAGGUAUAAGUCAAUUCGAUAUUGUUAUCUAUAUAGCUAAAUGAUUGAGGGUGUGUUGUAAAUAAACUUAUUUUAUUGG